GACGUAGGGUGCGAGCGUUGUCCGGAUUUAUUGGGCGUAAAGAGCUCGUAGGCGGCUCGUCGCGUCGUCCGUGAAAACCCGCGGCUUAACCGCGGGCUUGCGGUUGAUACGGGCGGGCUAGAGUUCGGUAGGGGAGACUGGAAUUCCUGGUGUAGCGGUGAAAUGCGCAGAUAUCAGGAGGAACACCGGUGGCGAAGGCGGUCAUCCUGGGAC
rnacentral:rRNA from 1 species